rnacentral:Y_RNA from 1 species
GGUUGGUCUGAGUGCAGUGGUGUUUACAACUAAUUGAUCACAACCAGUUAUAGAUUCCUUUGUUCCUUCUCCACUCCCACUGCUCCACUUAACCAGCAAAA